AGGCCAUGAUGCAGGAAAAGUCCAUCACCUCUUUGUACCUUUCCCAUGCUUCAAUGAGAGAUUCUCUACUAACUUGUCUAAAAUAAGUGAUUUGGUUUCUUAAAAU